rnacentral:rRNA from 1 species
AACGAACGCUGGCGGCAUGCCUAACACAUGCAAGUCGAACGAGACCUUCGGGUCUAGUGGCGCACGGGUGCGUAACGCGUGGGAACCUGCCCUUAGGUUCGGAAUAACUCCCCGAAAGGUGUGCUAAUACCGGUUAAUGUCUUCGGACCAAAGAUUUAUCGCCUUUGGAUGGGCCCGCGUUGGUUUAGCUAGUUGGUAGGGUAAAAGCCUACCAAGGCGACGAUCCAUAGAUGGUCUGAGAGGAUGAUCAGCCACACUGGGACUGAGACACGGCCCAGACUACUACGGGAGGCAGCAGUGGGGAAUAUUGGAAAAUGGGGGAAAGCCUGAUGCAGAAAUGCCGCGUGAGUGAUGAAGGCAUUAGGGUUGUAAAGCUCUUUUACCCGGGAUGAUAAUGACAGUACCGGGAGAAUAAGCACCGGCUAACUCCGUG